UACGUAGGGUGCAAGCGUUGUCCGGAAUUAUUGGGCGUAAAGAGCUCGUAGGCGGUUUGUCACGUCGGCUGUGAAAACCCGAGGCUCAACCUCGGGCCUGCAGUCGAUACGGGCAGACUAGAGUAUGGCAGGGGAGACUGGAAUUCCUGGUGUAGCGGUGAAAUGCGCAGAUAUCAGGAGGGAACACCGGUGGCGAAGGCGGGUCUCUGGGCCAUAACUGACGCUGGAGGAGCGAAAGACGUGGGGAGCGAACAGG
rnacentral:rRNA from 1 species